UAUUCCAGGUGGUCUGGCUAGCCGAAGUC
rnacentral:piRNA from 1 species